rnacentral:rRNA from 1 species
AUGGACUCAUACACAACGACGUGGGACGAACAGCUCGUAAAAUAUAUCUUUUGGGCUUCGAAUGCCAACCUUAUCCUUGCGCUCCCUAUCAAGGACGAAAUGGAGGACGGAUGGGCCUGGCACCUGGAUCACCGCGGGUGCUUCUCAGUGAAAUCUGCAUACAAACUUUGCAAGCGGGUGGAACUGCUCCGUGCAGGGGAGGUAGGUAGCUCAAACCAGGAAGUUGAUAGUUUUGAUUGGAAGUCUAUUUGGCAAGCGCCAUGCCCUAUGAAAAUCCAACAAUUUAUGUGGCGAAUAGCAACUAACAGUCUGGCGGUGCGCAUCAAUCUAAAGAGAAGAGGUAUUGAUGUUGAUACUUUAUGCCUAGUCUGCCAUAGACGGGAUGAAGAUGGAAGCCACUUGUUAUUCCAAUGCAAAAUGGUACGACGCCUCUGGAGGGAGAGGGAUUUGGAGCAUAUUCGAACUGAAUGCAUGGCUCUACACGACCCAAAGGAAGUUGUGAAGACUCUGCUGCAAGGAAAUCUAGAUCAAACCACUAGUAUAGUAGCCCCGGUGUGGUCUUGGUGGAACGGUAGAAACAAGCAUCGAGCGGAAAAGAAAAAGAUUGAGAUCAAUGCUUUGUUGUGGCAGAUCAGCAGUACAGUGGAUGAGUAUAAAAACUUCUUUGGGAGGGAGAAACAGGAGACAGUGAAACAGCCGGAAGGUUGGACAAAACCUGCCGAGGGCAUACUCAAGAUAAAUGUGGAUGGCAGUUUUAACAAGGAUACAAAAUCUGGCGGCUGGGGAUAUGUCAUACGGGACCACGAAGGUGAUGUUGUGAUUGCUGCUGCUGGGCGUCUGAACCAUACCUCUGAUGCAUUACAAGCGGAAGCGGAAGCCUGCAUCCAAGCAAUUUACAAGGCGCAAGAACUGGGCAUUGGCCGCGCAGUCGUGGAAACUGAUGCGAUGUUGCUGGUCCAGGUGAUCAAGUCCUCGAGUUAUGACCUCGCUCCAAAUGGUGUCUUGUUUAAGGAGAUCAAACUCUUUGCCUCGUUAAACUUUAGCUCUUUUGAUAUUGUUCAUUGCCCUCGGGCCUGUAAUAAGGUUGCAGACGUUCUAGCGCUGCAUGGGUCGAAGAUGGAGCUUGAGCCCCAAGCCGUAUGGCCGGGCCUUGCCCCUACCUUUGCCCAGUCUUUCAUUGCCAGCGACUCUGCUCGGCACGUUGCUUAA